rnacentral:rRNA from 1 species
UACGUAGGGCGCAAGCGUUGUCCGGAAUUAUUGGGCGUAAAGAGCUCGUAGGCGGCUUGUCGCGUCGAUUGUGAAAGCCCGGGGCUUAACUCCGGGUCUGCAGUCGAUACGGGCAGGCUAGAGUGUGGUAGGGGAGAUCGGAAUUCCUGGUGUAGCGGUGAAAUGCGCAGAUAUCAGGAGGAACACCGAUGGCGAAGGCAGGUCUCUGGGCAUUAACUGACGCUGAGGAGCGAAAGCAUGGGGAGCGAACAGG